ensembl:lncRNA
CAGAAUCCUCAUACUGCUCUUUUUCAGAAAAGCCUUAUUUCCGCAUUUUCACAAAAGUGGAGCCCGUGGUUCAGGGAGAUGCAGCAGCUGACUCAAGACUGCGGAGACAGUAGGUCAGAGAUGGACCAGGAUGUGGUCUUCCAGCACUGAUACCAGCCCUGUCUGUCCCAGCCUGAGAGGCGGCCUUCUGCAAUGCUCUCCGUGGAAGCUUCAUCCAGGCUUGGCCCUCGAAGUCCUAAAUCUAACAUCAAGCAAAAAGGGAAAUUCAGGAAUCUGCCCUUGGCCAUAUCUGUUCUUCAGAGAUGGGGAAAUGGCCCCAGAUGGUCCCUGAUUCUGUCCCAGGACUGGCUGGUGGUGGGGUGUAGUGUCUGCACCCUCCCAAGGAGACUGACCGUCAGAACCCUGUCUCUGUGGGCCUUCUCAGGCUCUCUGACUGCUCCGCGUGGCUCCGGGUGGGAGUUAGGGAAAUCUGGAGGUUAAAGGUGCAACCAAGUGAGCCUGCCAGGCAGGCCCCAGGUAAAAGGGAUGGAUGGGGACUCCAGCCCAGGCCCAGAGAACACCGAGGACGCACCACUGAGUGGGCUGUGACCUGUGGCUGGGGGAGAGCCCUUGGGCCCUAGAGGGCACAUGCUCCCCACACAUCCCAGCUUAGCCCAGGGCCAGGUAGGGGAGGUGCUGAUGCACAAGCAAUAAUGGGCCAGAUGAUAGCUUUCAGAGCUCGUUGAAGGAGGCAGGCAGGGCAAGCUUCAUUUUGGUUUACAGAUAUGGCAAUGGAGGCCCAGAGAACUCAGAUGGCUUUCCAAGGCCACACAGCCCCGAAGGCAGGACCCUGGGCUCCUUUUCAUCUGUCAACUCUAGGAGGAUGGGUCUGGGCACAGCCACGAAGGAGCAGAUGUGAGCUGUGGUGAGCCUCUUUGGAACAAUCCCUGGCUGCCGGAUGGCAAGAUGAUCACAAUGUUUUGGAACCCAGACCCAAGCUGCAUCCUCAUGAAUGCCUCCAUUCUGUGUGAAUGCCUUCACUGUGAAGUGAAGCCCAGGCCCAGGGUGCCCACAGGACAGGGAUGGAUUGGACUAAAAAUUGUUGGACUUUAUGGAAGGGGUGGGUAACGCCCUUUUGUACCCAUCAUCUCAUCCAAGCCAAAGGGUGUGGAAUACUCCCAGACUUAACUCUUUUCAGUAUACUAUUAGGCUCUUGUCCCCUCACUGAGUUCAUGACCUGUCCCUUCUGAUCUGGGUGGCUGCUUGCUUAUUAAAGUCUUCUGUUCCCAGAUCUCUUAUUGCACCUUCAGGAUAUGCCUGCAUAUGUGGCACUCCCCAGAAUGAGGGCCCAAAGAAAAGGGCAUCCCAGAGGAAAUUUGGCCCCUGUGUACCUGCUCAUCCUUUUAUUAAUAACGUAUGGCACAAGGGAGCCAGUACACUAGGACAGUUGGUCCCAUUCACAGUCACAAUACGUAGUAAUACUC